GGAUGCUAUCAUACCAGCAUUAACGCACUGGAUCCCAUCAGAACUCCAAAGUUAACCAUGCUUGGGCGUGAGUAGUACUAGGAUGGCUAACCCUCUAGGAAGUUCUCGUGUUGCAUCAC
rnacentral:rRNA from 1 species